GGGGAUGUGAAUAAAAAAAUUGGGGUUAAAUUUUUCUUAUUUUAGAUUUCAUAAGUAAAAAGAAAAUUUCUUCAAACAUUUUUUCAACAGCAUAGUGAAUUGCUCAAAGGCAAAACAAAUAUUUUAAGUUCAUUAGACCACAUUCAUUCUGUGUCAGAAACCUAUGCUGUGUCAACUAUUUAAUCACAAUCCAAAUUUAGAUUUGAAUCCAGCUUGAAUGUUGUGUCCAUAAUUGCCCC
rnacentral:lncRNA from 1 species